CAUCAAAUACAACUGAGCAACUACCCUAAAUCCUAAAGCCCAGAAUCCGAAGACAGAUGGUAGAAUACUAAAAUUCAAUCACAAUAAGUAAUUAAUAAAAACGGGUCGUAAGCCCGUAAUUUACUUUUCUAUGGGUGAGGUUAUGUCAGAAUAUUGAUAAUAUCUUAAAUUUUUUACAGAAACAAUUGUAGUUUUUGUAAGUAGUUUUUAUUCUCACAUAGUCAUAUCUUCUUGAUUUUAUAUGCAAUGGCGAAAGAAAAAUAUAGAUUUCUGAACACUUGCAAUAGGCAUAUGCAUUGGCUUGACUACUUGUGAGUAUCUAUUAGUUCAUUUGUAUACAUUAGUGUUAUUUGCCUGUAUUGGCCAAUUGUUUUAUUAUUUUAAAUUUUGUAACCUUAAGAAAUUUGGAAAACGAGCAUAGACCAAUCAAUGUGCGAAUUCAAUGCAAACAUAAUGGGUUGAAACAGACACUGUACUUGCACAUCAACUCUAAAUUGAAGCUAUUGAAAAAGUGUAAACAAAAAAAUCAAGUAAUUUUACUGCACCUACCUACUGUUGUUACUAAUUUUUGAAA